GACAGAGGCCUCAAGCGUUAGGCGGAAUCACUGGGCUUAAAGCGUGUGUAGGCGGGUCGUUAAGUACCUUGUGAAUCCCACGGCUCAACCCGUGGAACUGCUGGGUAUACUGGCGAUCUUGGGCCAUUCAGGGGCAACUGGAACAAGCGGUGGAGCGGUGAAAUGCGUAGAGAUCCGGAAGAACACCGGUGGCGAAGGCGGCCUGCUGGGCAGUAGCUGACGCUGAGGCGCGACAGCGGUGGGGAGCAAACAGG
rnacentral:rRNA from 1 species